rnacentral:piRNA from 1 species
UGCUGGAGCUGGCGUGGCUUGUGGAC